rnacentral:rRNA from 1 species
CCUACGGGCGGCAGCAGUGAGGAAUAUUGGUCAAUGGGCGCGAGCCUGAACCAGCCAAGUAGCGUGAAGGAAGACUGCCCUACGGGUUGUAAACUUCUUUUAUCAAGGAAUAAAGUGAGGCACGUGUGCCUUUUUGUAUGUACUUUAUGAAUAAGGAUCGGCUAACUCCGUGCCAGCAGCCGCGGUAAUACGGAGGAUCCGAGCGUUAUCCGGAUUUAUUGGGUUUAAAGGGAGCGUAGAUGGGAUGGUAAGUCAGGGGUGAAAGUUUGCGGCUCAACCGUAAAAUUGCAAUGGAUACUGGGAGCCUGGAGUACAGUAGAGGUAGGCGGAAUUCGUGGUGUAGCGGUGAAAUGCGUAGAUAUCACGAAGAACUCCGAUGGCGAAGGCAGCUUACUAAACUGCCACUGACAUUGAUGCUCGAAAGUGUGGGUAUCAAACAGGAUUAGAUACCCGAGUAGUC